rnacentral:rRNA from 1 species
ACAGAGUUUGAUCCUAUCUCAGAAUGAACGUUGGCGGCGUGGAUUAGGCAUGCAAGUCGCGCGGGAUCUUGUUGGAGCUGAAGCUUCGGCUGAUUGAUUCGAGUGAGAGCGGCGAAAGGGAGAGUAACGCGUGGCAGAUCUGCCCUCGGCUCCAGGAUAGCGUUGGGAAACUGGCGGUAAUACUGGAUAAUAUCUCCGGAUAUCACAGGGUGUGAUUCCGGCCGAGGAUGAGUCCGCGUCCUAUUAGAUUGUUGGUGGGGUAAUGGCCUACCUACGUCGAAGAUGGGUACCGGGUGUGAGAGCAUGGCCCGGCUCACUGGGACUGAGACACUGCCCAGACGUCUACGGACGGCUGCAGUCGAGAAUCUUCCGCAAUGGACGAAAGUCUGACGGGACCGACGCCGCGUGCGGGAUGAAGGCCCUCGGGUUGUAAACCGCAGAUUCAGUUGGGAGGAUAUCGCUAUGGGGUUCUCCCUGUAGUUUGACCGAUCUUCAGAGGAAGUACGGUAUUAAGUACUAUUGCAGUAGCAGCCGCGGUAACACGUACCGUACGAACGUUAUUCGGAAUUCACUGGGCAGAAUGAGUCCGUAGGCGGCUUUAAAGGUCAGGUGUGAAAUGGCCACGGCCUCGAACUGCGCUUGAAACCAUGAAGCUAGAGGGAGAUAGAGGUGAGCGGAACUGAUGGUGGAGCGGUGAAAUGCGUUGAUAUCAUCAGGAACACCCGUGGCGAAAGCGGCUCACUGGGUCUCUUCUGACGCUGAGCAGGACGAAAGCUAGGGGAGCCAGAACGGGAUUAGAUACCCCGGUAGUCCUAGCUGUAAACGAUGAGCACUAGUUCGAGUUGACUAUUCACAUCCUCUUGGACGUAGCGAAGAGCAGGUUAAGUGCUCCGCCUGGGGAGUAUGGUCGCAAGGCUGAAACUCAAAGGAAUUGACGGGGGCUCACACAAGCGGUGGAGGAUGUGGCUUAAUUCGAGGCUACGCGAAGAACCUUAUCCUAGUCUUGACAUGCUUGGGAAUUCUUGUGAAAGCAAGAAGUGCCUUUCGGGGAGCCCAGGCACAGGUGCUGCAUGGCUGUCGAGCUCGUGUCGUGAGAUGACUUAAGUUAUCUUAACGAGCGAAACCCUUAUCUCUAGUUGCCAGCGAGUAAUGUCGGGGACUCUAGAGAGACUGCCGGUGUUAAACCGGAGGAAGGUGGGGAUGACGUCAAGUCCUCAUGGCCUUUAUGACUAGGGCUGCACACGUCCUACAAUGCAACAUACAAAGCGAACAAGACCGCAAGGUGGAGCAAAUCGCAGAAAGUGUUGCUCAGUAUCGGAUUGUAGCGGCUGCAACUCGCCUGCAUGAAGCUGGAAUCGCUAGUAAUCGCGGGUCAAGAGCAUACCGCGGUGGGAUGUGUUACUGAGCCUUGUACACACCGCCCGUCAAGCCACGGAGGGCCCGAAGUCGCCGAGCUAACUCGCAUACAGAGGCAAGCGCCGA